rnacentral:rRNA from 1 species
CGUGUAGGCGGUUGGAAAAGUCAGGUGUGAAAUUCUUCGGCUCAACCGGGGGACUGCGCCUGAAACUUUCCGACUGGAGUUCGGGAGGGGCAACUGGAAUUCCUGGUGUAACGGUGAAAUGUGUAGAUAUCAGGAGGAACACCCGUGGCGAAGGCGGGUUGCUGGACCGAAACUGACGCUGAGACGCGAAAGCGUGGGUAGCAAACA